rnacentral:lncRNA from 1 species
GGGUUGAUGUACUAGUUACCUAAAAUCUUACGGGAUAUGUAGCAUGGAAAGGCAAGUCCAUCAUAAUGUUGCAGUUCACUGAAGUCCUCAGUGAACUGAGGAGUUGAAGGUUUCAGGUUUCUAUGCCUAAAAGCCUGCAAACGCAAAGCCAGGAAACUCAAAAACAUGUAGUAAGCAAUAGUGCAGCUGCAGUCACUACUUAGAAGAAUAGAGAUCACCUUUCCUGCC